rnacentral:rRNA from 1 species
UGAGGAAUAUUGGGCAAUGCCCGAAAGGGUGACCCAGCAACGCCGCGUGGAGGAUGAAGGUCGUAAGAUUGUAAACUCCUGUUAGAGGGGAAGAAUAACUAAGUUUGGAGCUUAGUAUGACUGUACCCGCAGAAUAAGCCCCGGCUAACUUCGUGCCAGCAGCCGCGGUAAGACGAAGGGGGCAAGCGUUGUUCGGAAUUACUGGGCGUAAAGGGCGCGUAGGCGGUUUGCUUAGUCAGGCGUGAAAGCCCUGGGCUUAACCUGGGAUGUGCGCUUGAUACUGGCAGGCUUGAGUGUGGGAGAGGUUGGUGGAAUUCCCAGUGUAGAGGUGAAAUUCGUAGAUAUUGGGAAGAACACCGGUGGCGAAGGCGGCCAACUGGACCACAACUGACGCUGAGGCGCGAAAGCGUGGGGAGCAAACA